rnacentral:rRNA from 1 species
GAUGAACGCUGGCGGCGUGCCUAAUACAUGCAAGUCGAGCGAACGGACGAGAAGCUUGCUCUCUUGCUGUUAGCGGCGGACGGGCGAGUAACACGUGGAUAACCUACUUAUAAGACUGGGAUAACUUCGGGAAACAGGAGCUAAUACCGGAUAAUAUUUUGAACCGCAGGGUUCAAAAGUGAAAGACGGUCUUCCUGUCACUUAUAGACGGAUCCGCGCUGCAUUAGCUAGUUGGUAAGGUAACGGCUUACCAAGGCAACGAUGCAUAGCCGACCUGAGAGGGUGAUCAGCCACACUGGAACUGAGACACGGUCCAGACUCCUACGGGAGGCAGCAGUAGGGAAUCUUCCGCAAUGGGCGAAAGCCUGACGGAGCAACGCCGCGUGGGUGAUGAAGGUCUUCGGAUCGUAAAACUCUGUUAUUAGGGAAGAACAUAUGUGUAAGUAACUGUGCACGUCUUGACGGUACCUAAUCAGAAAGCCACGGCUAACUACGUG